ensembl:rRNA 5_8S_rRNA 5.8S ribosomal RNA
GACAAUUAGCAGUGGAUCACUCAGCAUGUGUGUCAAUGAAGACCACAGCUAGCUGCAAAAAUUAAUGUGAAUUGCAGGACACAUUGAUCAACACUUUGAAUGUACUUGUGGCCCUGGGUUCUCCCGGGUCCAUGCCUGACUGAGCGUCA